rfam:Mobiluncus curtisii ATCC 43063, complete genome.
UUUCGUUCCCCGCGUGACGACAUAGUCUGAACCUCCCCAGGGUCGGAAGACAGCAAGGAUAAGGGCUCCCUGUCGGGUGCGCGGGGAACUUUUAAU